CGGCGAACGGGUGAGUAACACGUGGGUGAUCUGCCUCGCACUCUGGGAUAAGCCUGGGAAACUGGGUCUAAUACCGGAUAUGAGCAUGGUCUGCAUGGACUGUGUUGGAAAGGUUUACUGGUGCGAGAUGGGCCCGCGGCCUAUCAGCUUGUUGGUGGGGUAACGGCCUACCAAGGCGACGACGGGUAGCCGGCCUGAGAGGGCGACCGGCCACACUGGGACUGAGACACGGCCCAGACUCCUACGGGAGGCAGCAGUGGGGAAUAUUGCACAAUGGGCGAAAGCCUGAUGCAGCGACGCCGCGUGAGGGAUGACGGCCUUCGGGUUGUAAACCUCUUUCGACAGGGACGAAGCGCAAGUGACGGUACCUGUAGAAGAAGCACCGGCCAACUACGUGCCAGCAGCCGCGGUAAUACGUAGGGUGCGAGCGUUGUCCGGAAUUACUGGGCGUAAAGAGCUUGUAGGCGGUCUGUCGCGUCGAUUGUGAAAACUCACAGCUCAACUGUGAGCCUGCAGUCGAUACGGGCAGACUAGAGUACUUCAGGGGAGACUGGAAUUCCUGGUGUAGCGGUGAAAUGCGCAGAUAUCAGGAGGAACACCGGUGGCGAAGGCGGGUCUCUGGGAAGUAACUGACGCUGAGAAGCGAAAGCGUGGGUAGCGAACAGGAUUAGAUACCCUGGUAGUCCACGCCGUAAACGGUGGGUACUAGGUGUGGGUUUCCUUCCACGGGAUCCGUGCCGUAGCUAACGCAUUAAGUACCCCGCCUGGGGAGUACGGCCGCAAGGCUAAAACUCAAAGGAAUUGACGGGGGCCCGCACAAGCGGCGGAGCAUGUGGAUUAAUUCGAUGCAACGCGAAGAACCUUACCUGGGUUUGACAUACACCGGAAAGCCGUAGAGAUACGGCCCCCCUUGUGGUCGGUGUACAGGUGGUGCAUGGCUGUCGUCAGCUCGUGUCGUGAGAUGUUGGGUUAAGUCCCGCAACGAGCGCAACCCUUAUCUUAUGUUGCCAGCACGUAAUGGCGGGGACUCGUGAGAGACUGCCGGGGUCAACUCGGAGGAAGGUGGGGACGACGUCAAGUCAUCAUGCCCUUUAUGUCCAGGGCUUCACACUUGCUACAAUGGCCGGUACAGAGGGCUGCGAUACCAUGAGGUGGAGGGAAUCCCUU
rnacentral:rRNA from 1 species